rfam:Agrobacterium vitis S4 chromosome 2, complete sequence.
AGCACGAGUAGAAGCGGUCUGAGCCUGAGGCUCUGGGCAUUGCUCGACGG